rnacentral:rRNA from 1 species
AACGAACGCUGGCGGCAGGCCUAACACAUGCAAGUCGAACGCCCUGCAAGGGGAGUGGCAGACGGGUGAGUAACGCGUGGGAAUCUACCCAGUGGUACGGAACAACCAAGGGAAACUUUGGCUAAUACCGUAUAAGUCCUUCGGGAGAAAGAUUUAUCGCCAUUGGAUGAGCCCGCGUCGGAUUAGGUAGUUGGUGAGGUAAUGGCUCACCAAGCCUACGAUCCGUAGCUGGUCUGAGAGGAUGAUCAGCCACAUUGGGACUGAGACACGGCCCAAACUCCUACGGGAGGCAGCAGUGGGGAAUAUUGGACAAUGGGCGCAAGCCUGAUCCAGCCAUGCCGCGUGAGUGAUGACGGCCCUAGGGUUGUAAAGCUCUUUCGGCGGGGAAGAUAAUGACUGUACCCGCAGAAGAAGCCCCGGCUAACUUCGUGCCAGCAGCCGCGGUAAUACGAAGGGGGCUAGCGUUGUUCGGAAUCACUGGGCGUAAAGCGUAUGUAGGCGGAUUGUUAAGUCAGGGGUGAAAUCCCGAGGCUCAACCUCGGAACUGCCUUUGAUACAGGCUUUCUUGAGAUCGGGAGAGGUGAGUGGAACUCCUAGUGUAGAGGUGAAAUUCGUAGAUAUUAGGAAGAACACCAGUGGCGAAGGCGGCUCACUGGCCCGAUACUGACGCU